rnacentral:rRNA from 1 species
ACAGCAGCAGCCACGGUAAUACGUAGGUGGCAAGCGUUGUCCGGAAUUAUUGGGCGUAAAGGGCUCGCAGGCGGUUCCUUAAGUCUGAUGUGAAAGCCCCCGGCUCAACCGGGGAGGGUCAUUGGAAACUGGGAAACUUGAGUGCAGAAGAGGAGAGUGGAAUUCCGCGUGUAGCGGUGAAAUGCGUAGAGAUGUGGAGGAACACCAGUGGCGAAGGCGACUCUCUGGUCUGUAACUGACGCUGAGGAGCGAAAGCGUGGGGAGCGAACAGGAUUAGAUACCCGUGUAGUCCCUGUCUCUUAUAC